GCCCCUGUGGCGGAAUUGGUAGACGCGCCGGAUUCAAAAUCCGGUUCUUUCGGGAGUGUGAGUUCGAGUCUCACCGGGGGCACCA
rnacentral:tRNA from 2 species